rnacentral:rRNA from 1 species
GAGCGAACAGACGAGGAGCUUGCUCCUCCGACGUUAGCGGCGGACGGGUGAGUAGCACGUGGAUAACCUACCUAUAAGACUGGGAUAGCUUCGGGAAACCGGAGCUAAUACCGGAUAAUAUAUUGAACCGCAUGGUCCAAUAGUGAAAGACGGUUUUGCUGUCACUUAUAGAUGGAUCCGCGCCGCAUUAGCUAGUUGGUAAGGUAACGGCUUACCAAGACAACGAUGCGUAGCCGACCUGAGAGGGUGAUCGGCCACACUGGAACUGAGACACGGUCCAGACUCCUACGGGAGGCAGCAGUAGGGAAUCUUCCGCAAUGGGCGAAAGCCUGACGGAGCAACGCCGCGUGAGUGAUGAAGGUCUUCGGAUCGUAAAACUCUGCUACUAGGGAAGCACAAAUGUGUAAGUAACUAUGCACGUCUUGACGGUACCUAAUCAGAAAGCCACGGCUAACUACGUGCCAGCAGCCGCGGUAAUACGUAGGUGGCAAGCGUUAUCCGGAAUUAUUGGGCGUAAAGCGCGCGUAGGUGGUUUUUUAAGUCUGAUAUGAAAGCCCACGGCUCAACCGUGGAGGGUCAUUGGAAACUGGAAAACUUGAGUGCAGAAGAGGAAAGUGGAAUUCCAUGUGUAGCGGUGAAAUGCGCAGAGAUAUGGAGGAACACCAGUGGCGAAGGCGACUUUCUGGUCUGUAACUGACG